UUCUGCAACGUUCCCGCACCG
rnacentral:misc_RNA from 1 species